CCUCUCACCCGGGUCCCCCACUGACUUACGUCCCCAGGACAAUUUUCUUCCGCGCACCUAAUUAUUCACUUAAAUACACUGCAUACACUUAGGAAAAAGUGGCCUUCAUACUUCAAGGACAAAGUCAUCGCAGAAUGCCAGAGUCUUCCCCAAAGUCUCCAUGUCAAGGAGUUGCUGGCUUUUGACACUGAGGCUGAGAAUGACUUUGAUGUCUUCAAGGCUGGGAUAGUGAUAUGUCAGCUCUUCUGUUGCUGUUGCAUCUCCUGCCUCCUACAUCAAGAGGCCACAAAAAACAGCCAAAGGAAGCUCAGCCCAGGCAGCCAACCAUCUUGUAAGGUUUAUUGAGGAAGGAGCCAGCAUGACUACAUUCCUGGAGAAAGAUGAUGCUAGACAGCCCUUCCUCCUCUGCAUCUGUGAGCAAAGGAAGAACAUCGAAAGAUUCUUCAUCAUUGUGGACCAAAAAGCUGUCCCCUUAACGCUCGGACAUCGGUGGCUGCUGAUGGUGUGUUAUUCAAAGCUCACUAUGUCUUCAGCAUCUCCUACGACGAAGCUCUUUUCAGUUUCUACACCCUCAUUCAAACCACGGUGUACAACAUCGAUGUACUUUGAUGACCAUUUCCAUGCAUAUUGUAUAGAGGAGCAAAGCAGUGAACGUGUUCUGAUUGGUCUUGACAAACUGCCAUAUGUUAGACCUUUUGAUAAACUACUCUAAUGAGAGUGACAGAGCAUACAUUGUUCCAUAUUAUUGUAUGUUUUGAAAAGCAUUGUAAAAUGUGUAUGUGAUGCACUGGUUUUAAAAUAAAUAUGUUUUAAAACUA